AUUGAACGCUGGCGGCAGGCUUAACACAUGCAAGUCGAACGAGUGUCGGACGUGUGAGUAAUUCUUUGGAAUCUGGCUUAUGGAUGGGGAUAACCACGGGAAACUGUCGCUAAUACCGCGUACCAUAGGCUGAGCCCCAGUGGGAGUAGGUAGUUGGUGGGGUAAUGGCCUACCAAGCCGACGAUCUCUAGCUGGUCUGAGAGGAUGACAGGCCACACCGGGACUGAGACACGGCCCGGACUCCUCCGGGAGGCAGCAGUGGGGAAGAUUGCGCAAUGGGGGCAACCUGACGCAGCAAUGCCGCGGGAAUGAAGAAGGCCUUCGGGUUGUAAAGUUCUUUCGGUGACGAGGCGUUAAUCAAAGAAGAAGCAACGGCUAACUCCGUGCCAGCAGCCGCGGUAAUUG
rnacentral:rRNA from 1 species